rnacentral:misc_RNA from 1 species
GAAGUUAUCUUCAAAUGGAUCGGGUUAGUGUUUCCACUGUGAAUGUAGAGUUAAUUAUAUAUUUUGAUGCUCAUUGUACCUUCAAAAGCCUUGAACGAGGGAGAUGUUUGUAGUUGCUUAUCUUCAGAACUUUAAAUCCUUUUGCAUCAUGUUUUGGAUUGAAAUUCAUUAAUUGCAUUUGGAGCAUCUUACUUCCAAGCAAUUUUCCUAGUUAAUUUUUCUUAUUCUGACAUCAAAUCCAAAUUGAUAUUAAUUCUUUACAAGAUAUGUGCUCCAAUUAUUUGUAUGUUUUAUUAAAAUAUUCCUUUCUGGCUGCUUAGCAUCAGAAAUUUCUCGCUCAAUUACACAUAAUGCAGGCCGCAAGGAAGUGACUGUGGCA